rnacentral:rRNA from 1 species
AUUGAACGCUGGCGGCAUGCCUUACACAUGCAAGUCGAACGGUAACGCGGGGCAACCUGGCGACGAGUGGCGAACGGGUGAGUAAUGCAUCGGGACGUGCCCAGGAGUGGGGGAUAGCCCGGCGAAAGCCGGAUUAAUACCGCAUACGACCUACGGGAGAAAGGGGGGGAUCGCAAGACCUCUCGCUAUUGGAGCGGCCGAUGUCAGAUUAGGUAGUUGGUGGGGUAAAGGCCUACCAAGCCGACGAUCUGUAGCUGGUCUGAGAGGACGACCAGCCACACUGGGACUGAGACACGGCCCAGACUCCUACGGGAGGCAGCAGUGGGGAAUUUUGGACAAUGGGCGCAAGCCUGAUCCAGCCAUGCCGCGUGCGGGAAGAAGGCCUUCGGGUUGUAAACCGCUUUUGUCAGGGAAGAAAUCUUCUGGGUUAAUACCUCGGGAGGAUGACGGUACCUGAAGAAUAAGCACCGGCUAACUACGUGCCAGCAGCCGCGGUAAGAC